UACAGAGGGUGCGAGCGUUAAUCGGAAUUACUGGGCGUAAAGCGCGCGUAGGCGGCUUUGCAAGUCGGGUGUGAAAUCCCCAGGCUUAACCUGGGAACUGCAUUCGAGACUGCAUUGAUAGAGUAUGGGAGAGGGAAGUGGAAUUUCCGGUGUAGCGGUGAAAUGCGUAGAUAUCGAGAGGAACACCUGCGGCGAAGGCGGGUUGCUGGGCUGACACUGACGCUGAAGCGCGAAAGCUAGGGGAGCGAACGGG
rnacentral:rRNA from 1 species